UGAGGGCACGUAAGGGCCAUUGCGAGGGCCUCUCCCCCCAUCCGAUCUCUGAGUAACCGGGCCUUUGACUUUGCUCAUGUUAGGACGAAGUUUUUCUCCUGUUCCUAACAAGGCUGUGGGGGCACAUAAGGACCGUUGCAAGGGCCUCUCCCUCCAUCCGGUCUCUAAGUAACCGGGCCUUCGACUUUGCUCAUGUUAGGACAAGGUUCUCCUCCUGUUCCUAACAAGGCUGUGGGGGCACAUAAGGGCCGUUGCAAGGGCCUCUCCCCCCAUCCGGUC
rnacentral:lncRNA from 1 species